GACGAACGCUGGCGGCGUGCUUAACACAUGCAAGUCGAACGGAAAGGCCCUGCUUUUGUGGGGUGCUCGAGUGGCGAACGGGUGAGUAACACGUGAGUAACCUGCCCCUGACUUUGGGAUAACUUCAGGAAACUGGGGCUAAUACCGGAUAGGAGCUCCUGCUGCAUGGUGGGGGUUGGAAAGUUUCGGCGGUUGGGGAUGGACUCGCGGCUUAUCAGCUUGUUGGUGGGGUAGUGGCUUACCAAGGCUUUGACGGGUAGCCGGCCUGAGAGGGUGACCGGCCACAUUGGGACUGAGAUACGGCCCAGACUCCUACGGGAGGCAGCAGUGGGGAAUAUUGCACAAUGGGCGGAAGCCUGAUGCAGCAACGCCGCGUGCGGGAUGACGGCCUUCGGGUUGUAAACCGCUUUCGCCUGUGACGAAGCGUGAGUGACGGUAAUGGGUAAAGAAGCACCGGCUAACUACGU
rnacentral:rRNA from 1 species